rnacentral:snRNA from 1 species
UGGAACAGUUGGAAGCAGCAAUGCC